GACGAACGCUGGCGGCGUGCUUAACACAUGCAAGUCGAACGAUGAACUCUGGUGCUUGCACUGGGGGGAUUAGUGGCGAACGGGUGAGUAACACGUGAGUAACCUGCCCUUCACUCUGGGAUAAGCGCUGGAAACGGCGUCUAAUACUGGAUACGACCUUCACAGGCAUCUGUUGGGGGUGGAAAGAUUUUUCGGUGGGGGAUGGACUCGCGGCCUAUCAGCUUGUUGGUGAGGUAAUGGCUUACCAAGGCGACGACGGGUAGCCGGCCUGAGAGGGUGACCGGCCACACUGGGACUGAGACACGGCCCAGACUCCUACGGGAGGCAGCAGUGGGGAAUAUUGCACAAUGGGCGCAAGCCUGAUGCAGCAACGCCGCGUGAGGGAUGACGGCCUUCGGGUUGUAAACCUCUUUUAGCAGGGAAGAAGCUUUCGGGUGACGGUACCUGCAGAAAAAGCACCGGCUAACUACGUGCCAGCCGCCGCAGUAACAC
rnacentral:rRNA from 1 species